rnacentral:rRNA from 1 species
CACCGCGGUUAUACGAGAGGCCCUAGUUAAUAGGCACGGCGUAAAGGGUGGUUAGGGGAGAUAAAAAUAAAGCCAAAGGGCCUCUUGGCCGUCAUACGCUCCCGAGUGUCCGAAGCCCAUAAGCGAAAGUAGCUUUAAUAUAGUCCACCUGACUCCACGAAAACUGAGAAA